rnacentral:rRNA from 1 species
UACGAAGGGGGCUAGCGUUGCUCGGAAUGACUGGGCGUAAAGGGCGCGUAGGCGGAGUGCUUUGUCGGGCGUGAAAUUCCAGGGCUCAACCUUGGGGCUGCGUUCGAGACGGGCAUUCUAGAGUUCGGAAGAGGGUCGUGGAAUUCCCAGUGUAGAGGUGAAAUUCGUAGAUAUUGGGAAGAACACCGGUGGCGAAGGCGGCGACCUGGUCCGAUACUGACGCUGAGGCACGAAAGCGUGGGGAGCAAACAGG